rnacentral:rRNA from 1 species
GCAAGUCGAACGAACCCUUCGUGGUUAGUGGCUCACGGGUGCGUAACGCGUGGGAACCUGCCUUUAGGUUCGGAAUAACUCAUAGAAAUUUGAGCUAAUACCGGAUAAUGUCUUCGGACCAAAGAUUUAUCGCCCUUAGAGGGGCCCGCGUUAGAUUAGAUAGUUGGUGGGGUAACGGCCUACCAAGUCGACGAUCUAUAGCUGGUCUGAGAGGAUGAUC